rnacentral:rRNA from 1 species
UACGAAGGGGGCUAGCGUUGUUCGGAAUUACUGGGCGUAAAGCGUGCGCAGGCGGUCUCUCAAGUCAGGGGUGAAAGCCCAGAGCUCAACUCUGGAAUUGCCCUUGAAACUGUGAGGCUCGAGUGCGGGAGAGGUGAGUGGAAUUCCCAGUGUAGAGGUGAAAUUCGUAGAUAUUGGGAAGAACACCGGUGGCGAAGGCGGCUCACUGGCCCGUUUCUGACGCUCAUGCACGAUAGCGUGGGGAUCAAACAGG